AAAGUCGUAACAAGGUUUCCGUAGGUGAACCUGCGGAAGGAUCAUCAUCGAAUUCAUAUCCCUCUCCAUCGCGGACUGGGACUCAUGAUAAACCCUUCUGUGCACUGUAAACCGUUCACUUUGGCUGGCUUUGGUGGUGAGCGUGAGCUCGCCUCCAACCUCGCGUUCCCUCCCCUUAGGGGGUUACGCGCGGCGGCCUGCCGAAGUCCUCCCAUGAAAAACACGUUUUUGAACACGACUGAAAAAAUUUCCUUUGAGAAAUCAAAGAACCGAAAACAACUUUCAACAACGGAUCUCUUGGCUCUC
rnacentral:misc_RNA from 1 species